GGUUAAGCGACUAAGCGUACACGGUGGAUGCCCUGGCAGUCAGAGGCGAUGAAGGACGUGCUAAUCUGCGAUAAGCGUCGGUAAGGUGAUAUGAACCGUUAUAACCGGCGAUUUCCGAAUGGGGAAACCCAGUGUGAUUCGUCACACUAUCAUUAACUGAAUCCAUAGGUUAAUGAGGCGAACCGGGGGAACUGAAACAUCUAAGUACCCCGAGGAAAAGAAAUCAACCGAGAUUCCCCCAGUAGCGGCGAGCGAACGGGGAGGAGCCCAGAGCCUGAAUCAGUGUGUGUGUUAGUGGAAGCGUCUGGAAAGGCGCGCGAUACAGGGUGACAGCCCCGUACACAAAAAUGCACAUACUGUGAGCUCGAUGAGUAGGGCGGGACACGUGGUAUCCUGUCUGAAUAUGGGGGGACCAUCCUCCAAGGCUAAAUACUCCUGACUGACCGAUAGUGAACCAGUACCGUGAGGGAAAGGCGAAAAGAACCCCGGCGAGGGGAGUGAAAAAGAACCUGAAACCGUGUACGUACAAGCAGUGGGAGCCUCUUUAUGGGGUGACUGCGUACCUUUUGUAUAAUGGGUCAGCGACUUAUAUUCUGUAGCAAGGUUAACCGAAUAGGGGAGCCGAAGGGAAACCGAGUCUUAACUGGGCGUUAAGUUGCAGGGUAUAGACCCGAAACCCGGUGAUCUAGCCAUGGGCAGGUUGAAGGUUGGGUAACACUAACUGGAGGACCGAACCGACUAAUGUUGAAAAAUUAGCGGAUGACUUGUGGCUGGGGGUGAAAGGCCAAUCAAACCGGGAGAUAGCUGGUUCUCCCCGAAAGCUAUUUAGGUAGCGCCUCGUGAAUUCAUCUCCGGGGGUAGAGCACUGUUUCGGCAAGGGGGUCAUCCCGACUUACCAACCCGAUGCAAACUGCGAAUACCGGAGAAUGUUAUCACGGGAGACACACGGCGGGUGCUAACGUCCGUCGUGAAGAGGGAAACAACCCAGACCGCCAGCUAAGGUCCCAAAGUCAUGGUUAAGUGGGAAACGAUGUGGGAAGGCCCAGACAGCCAGGAUGUUGGCUUAGAAGCAGCCAUCAUUUAAAGAAAGCGUAAUAGCUCACUGGUCGAGUCGGCCUGCGCGGAAGAUGUAACGGGGCUAAACCAUGCACCGAAGCUGCGGCAGCGACACUAUGUGUUGUUGGGUAGGGGAGCGUUCUGUAAGCCUGUGAAGGUGUACUGUGAGGUAUGCUGGAGGUAUCAGAAGUGCGAAUGCUGACAUAAGUAACGAUAAAGCGGGUGAAAAGCCCGCUCGCCGGAAGACCAAGGGUUCCUGUCCAACGUUAAUCGGGGCAGGGUGAGUCGACCCCUAAGGCGAGGCCGAAAGGCGUAGUCGAUGGGAAACAGGUUAAUAUUCCUGUACUUGGUGUUACUGCGAAGGGGGGACGGAGAAGGCUAUGUUGGCCGGGCGACGGUUGUCCCGGUUUAAGCGUGUAGGCUGGUUUUCCAGGCAAAUCCGGAAAAUCAAGGCUGAGGCGUGAUGACGAGGCACUACGGUGCUGAAGCAACAAAUGCCCUGCUUCCAGGAAAAGCCUCUAAGCAUCAGGUAACAUCAAAUCGUACCCCAAACCGACACAGGUGGUCAGGUAGAGAAUACCAAGGCGCUUGAGAGAACUCGGGUGAAGGAACUAGGCAAAAUGGUGCCGUAACUUCGGGAGAAGGCACGCUGAUAUGUAGGUGAAGUCCCUCGCGGAUAGAGCUGAAAUCAGUCGAAGAUACCAGCUGGCUGCAACUGUUUAUUAAAAACACAGCACUGUGCAAACACGAAAGUGGACGUAUACGGUGUGACGCCUGCCCGGUGCCGGAAGGUUAAUUGAUGGGGUCAGCGCAAACGCGAAGCUCUUGAUCGAAGCCCCGGUAAACGGCGGCCGUAACUAUAACGGUCCUAAGGUAGCGAAAUUCCUUGUCGGGUAAGUUCCGACCUGCACGAAUGGCGUAAUGAUGGCCAGGCUGUCUCCACCCGAGACUCAGUGAAAUUGAACUCGCUGUGAAGAUGCAGUGUACCCGCGGCAAGACGGAAAGACCCCGUGAACCUUUACUAUAGCUUGACACUGAACAUUGAGCCUUGAUGUGUAGGAUAGGUGGGAGGCUUUGAAGUGUGGACGCCAGUCUGCAUGGAGCCGACCUUGAAAUACCACCCUUUAAUGUUUGAUGUUCUAACGUUGGCCCCUGAUCGGGGUUGCGGACAGUGUCUGGUGGGUAGUUUGACUGGGGCGGUCUCCUCCUAAAGAGUAACGGAGGAGCACGAAGGUUGGCUAAUCCUGGUCGGACAUCAGGAGGUUAGUGCAAUGGCAUAAGCCAGCUUGACUGCGAGCGUGACGGCGCGAGCAGGUGCGAAAGCAGGUCAUAGUGAUCCGGUGGUUCUGAAUGGAAGGGCCAUCGCUCAACGGAUAAAAGGUACUCCGGGGAUAACAGGCUGAUACCGCCCAAGAGUUCAUAUCGACGGCGGUGUUUGGCACCUCGAUGUCGGCUCAUCACAUCCUGGGGCUGAAGUAGGUCCCAAGGGUAUGGCUGUUCGCCAUUUAAAGUGGUACGCGAGCUGGGUUUAGAACGUCGUGAGACAGUUCGGUCCCUAUCUGCCGUGGGCGCUGGAGAACUGAGGGGGGCUGCUCCUAGUACGAGAGGACCGGAGUGGACGCAUCACUGGUGUUCGGGUUGUCAUGCCAAUGGCACUGCCCGGUAGCUAAAUGCGGAAGAGAUAAGUGCUGAAAGCAUCUAAGCACGAAACUUGCCCCGAGAUGAGUUCUCCCUGACUCCCUGAGAGUCCUGAAGGAACGUUGAAGACGACGACGUUGAUAGGCCGGGUGUGUAAGCGCAGCGAUGCGUUGAGCUAACCGGUACUAAUGAACCGUGAGGCUUAACCUU
rnacentral:rRNA from 1 species